rnacentral:rRNA from 1 species
GACGAACGCUGGCGGCGUGCUUAACACAUGCAAGUCGAACGGAAAGGCCCUGCUUUUGUGGGGUGCUCGAGUGGCGAACGGGUGAGUAACACGUGAGUAACCUGCCCUUGACUUUGGGAUAACUUCAGGAAACUGGGGCUAAUACCGGAUAGGAGCUCCUGCUGCUUGUUGGGGGUUGGAAAGUUUCGGCGGUUGGGGAUGGACUCGCGGCUUAUCAGCUUGUUGGUGGGGUAGUGGCUUACCAAGGCUUUGACGGGUAGCCGGCCUGAGAGGGUGACCGGCCACAUUGGGACUGAGAUACGGCCCAGACUCCUACGGGAGGCAGCAGUGGGGAAUAUUGCACAAUGGGCGGAAGCCUGAUGCAGCAACGCCGCGUGCGGGAUGACGGCCUUCGGGUUGUAAACCGCUUUCGCCUGUGACGAAGCGUGAGUGACGGUAAUGGGUAAAGAAGCACCGGCUAACUACGUG